ACAAGCCUGAGAAACGGCUAGUAGGACUAAGGUCUGCAGCAGGCGCGAAACUUACACAAUGCUAGAUUUCAAAUUAGCGAUGUAGUGAAGAAAAAUAACGAUGUACUUGUAUUUAAACAUACUUGUACAAUUGGAAUGAGACGACUCUAAACCAGUCAGUCGAGUAACAAAUGGAGGGCAAGUCUGGUGCCAGCAGCCGCGGUAAUUCCAGCUCCAUUAGCAUACAUUAAAGUUGUUGCGGUUAAAAAGCUCGUAGUUGAAUUUUGGACGGGCUCUUGUAGGAUGCGGCCGUUAAAGGCAUGCUAGUUGACUUCGGUCACUUCGUGCUGGUCGUAUUUCCAACACGGAACCCGUUGUUUCGUCACUUAAUCGAGUGCGAAGCGGGCUGGUGCACUAGGUGUCUCUUAGGAUUCACCAAUGCAGCAGCAUGUUUACCUUGAGAAAAUUAGAGUGCUCAGAGCAGGCAGUUGGGAUGUAAAAGUCUCUUUAUGCUUGAAUAAUGUUGCAUGGAAUAAUAGAAUACGGCCUCGGUUCUAUUCUGUUGGUCUUAUAGAACAACAAACAAGUUGGUUUAGGCAUCAAACGGCCUGUUGAUGGUGUGGUUUGUGUUCGGUUUUUGUUGUCUGGGGCCUAAAAAUCUCAGUACCUUGGCUGAAUCUUACCAUCAAAGCACCAUUAGCUUGGCUAGCCUUCAAAUCAACUGAGGCAAUGGUUAAAAGAAAUAGUCGCGGCGGCAUCAGUACUGCAUCGUGAGAG
rnacentral:rRNA from 1 species